GAUGAACGCUGGCGGCGUGCCUAAUACAUGCAAGUCGAGCGAACAGACGAGGAGCUUGCUCCUCUGACGUUAGCGGCGGACGGGUGAGUAACACGUGGAUAACCUACCUAUAAGACUGGGAUAACUUCGGGAAACCGGAGCUAAUACCGGAUAAUAUAUUGAACCGCAUGGUUCAAUAGUGAAAGACGGUUUUGCUGUCACUUAUAGAUGGAUCCGCGCCGCAUUAGCUAGUUGGUAAGGUAACGGCUUACCAAGGCAACGAUGCGUAGCCGACCUGAGAGGGUGAUCGGCCACACUGGAACUGAGACACGGUCCAGACUCCUACGGGAGGCAGCAGUAGGGAAUCUUCCGCAAUGGGCGAAAGCCUGACGGAGCAACGCCGCGUGAGUGAUGAAGGUCUUCGGAUCGCAAAACUCUGUUAUUAGGGAAGAACAAAUGUGUAAGUAACUAUGCACGUCUUGACGGUACCUAAUCAGAAAGCCACGGCUAACUACGU
rnacentral:rRNA from 1 species